GAUGAACGCUGGCAGCGUGCCUAGUACAUGCAAGUCGAGCGAACGGACGAGAAGCUUGCUUCUCUGAUGUUAGCGGCGGACGGGUGAGUAACACGUGGAUAACCUACCUAUAAGACUGGGAUAACUUCGGGAAACCGGAGCUAAUACCGGAUAAUAUUUUGAACCGCAUGGUUCAAAAGUGAAAGACGGUCUUGCUGUCACUUAUAGAUGGAUCCGCGCUGCAUUAGCUAGUUGGUAAGGUAACGGCUUACCAAGGCAACGAUGCAUAGCCGACCUGAGAGGGUGAUCGGCCACACUGGAACUGAGACACGGUCCAGACUCCUACGGGAGGCAGCAGUAGGGAAUCUUCCGCAAUGGGCGAAAGCCUGACGGAGCAACGCCGCGUGAGUGAUGAAGGUCUUCGGAUCGUAAAACUCUGUUAUUAGGGAAGAACAUAUGUGUAAGUAACUGUGCACAUCUUGACGGUACCUAAUCAGAAAGCCACGGCUAACUACGUG
rnacentral:rRNA from 1 species